UAUUCUCCCUACUGUAUGUGAAAGAUCAUCUGGGGGAAGCAGGUACAGAAAAUGAGAGUAAAUAGGUGUCAGUUUGCUUCUGUAUAGCUGCCUGUUUCCCCCAUAAUUUAUCCACUUUCCAGCUGUUAAUGAACUACAACUCCCAGCAUUCACUGACUUGUAGUUUAACAGUAAUUGAAUGUUAGACAGCCCAGAUACCAAAUGUGACUGACUCUUCUUGCCUUACUGCACUGACUGUCUCAUAACUGCAUGUUUUUUGCAGGAAAGUGAUAACUCCACCAUUUCUUUUUAUUCCCACUGCCCGCAGCUCAUAUAUUUGGGGCACAGCUGCCCGUGCUUUAGCCACCUCGAGACACGUAUGUUUCGUGGCCUGUACAGCUCACGUUCUCUCUCUGCCAUAUUGCUCUUCUCUUGCAGCCAACCCAUAGGCCUCUUAUAUGUUACACUCUUGCUCUUAAUGCUCCAUGGGAGGUUCUGGGAACAAGCCACCAGUGUGCCAUAGGGCUGAAUAGAAACAGGGCUGCUCAGAGGAUUCAGAUGUUGGAUUUGUGUUUCUGUUUAUAUAGGGGUUUCCCUUUCUAGAACACUCUGCUUAUCUGGGUGUUUGAGUGUGUAACUAAGCAGUGUUACAUUAUCUUCAUAUAAGCCAUCUCAAUCAGCAACAGUUUAAGAAUUUUAGGUAAUUUAGGUGCCAUAAGUGGUUUUAUGGCUGUGUUUGGUUUAUCGUCUUAUUGCACUCUGUGGCUGCUCCAUAUGAACCAGAGCUUUCUCUUUAGACUACAGGUUAAACCAGAAGAACAGAAUGAUCUCUAAGAAAGAAAUGGUCCAGCACUCCAAAAGGAUUUAUGAGCAGCUCCCAGAAGUGAAGAAAAGACGAGAGGCAGAGAAGAGGAGACAGGAGUACGAAUCCUAUCGGCUGAAGGCUCAGCUCUUUCAGAAGAAAGUCACAAACCAUG